rnacentral:tmRNA from 1 species
GGGGCCGUUUAGGAUUCGACGCCGGUUGCGAAACUUUAGGUGCAUGCCGAGUUGGUAACAGAACUCGUAAAUCCACUGUUGCAACUUCUAUAGUUGCCAAUGACGAAACCUACGGCCAGGAAUUCGCUAUCGCUGCGUAAGCAGCCUUAGAUCCUGAGCUUCUGGUACCUUCGGGUCCAGCAAUCAUUAGGGGAUGUCCGUAAACCCAAAGUGAUUGUCAUAUAGAACGGAAUCGCCGUGCAGUACGUUGUGGACGAAGCGGCUAAAACUUACACAACUCGCCCAAAGCACCCUGCCCGUCGGGUCGCUGAGGGUUAACUUAAUAGACACGGCUACGCAUGUAGUACCGACAGCAGAGUACUGGCGGACGGGGGUUCAAAUCCCCCCGGCUCCACCA